rnacentral:rRNA from 1 species
CAGAGGGGGCAAGCGUUGUUCGGAAUUACUGGGCGUAAAGGGCGCGUAGGCGGCCCGCUAAGUCGAACGUGAAAUCCCCGAGCUCAACUCGGGAACUGCGUCCGAUACUGGCGGGCUUGAAUCCGGGAGAGGGAUGCGGAAUUCCAGGUGUAGCGGUGAAAUGCGUAGAUAUCUGGAGGAACACCGGUGGCGAAGGCGGCAUCCUGGACCGGCAUUGACGCUGAGGCGCGAAAGCUAGGGGAGCAAACGGAAUUAGAUACCCCGGUAGUCCUAGCCCUAAACGAUGAAUGCUUGGUGUGGCGGGUAUCGAUCCCUGCCGUGCCGAAGCUAACGCAUUAAGCAUUCCGCCUGGGGAGUACGGUCGCAAGGCUG